AACUAAUCUAGCUCAGAAUAAUGUGACAUGAUUAUGCUGUUAAUUAUUGGAAUUCCGUAGCAUAUUAUUCAAUUUUAGAUAGAAAUUAUCUCAAACUUACAAAAAGUACAGUUUGAGAACUUUCAAAAAAUUUCUGAACCAUUCAAAAGGAAAUUCCUAAUAUUUCCUUAUAUAUUUUUGUAUAUGAUUUCCCAUAUUUUACCUCAAAAUUUUUGUAUAUAGUUUCCACAACAAAAAUGUUAUAUAGCUACAACAAAAAUAUACACAAUGUUAAAACUGUAUUUUUAAAUUUUAUUUAUUUUUAUGUUUUGAGACAGGAUCUCACUCUAUUGCCCAGGCUGAAGUGCAGUGGCACGAUGUGUGCUCUUUGCAGCCUCCAUCUCCUGGCUCAAGUGAUCCUCCAACCUCAGCCACUCAAGCAGCUAGGACUACAGGCAUGACACCACACUAAUUUAAAAAAAAAAAAAAAAGAUUUGUAGAGACAGGGGUCUCACUACGUUGCCAGGACCUGGUCUUGAACUCCUGGGCUCAAGGAAUCCUCCUUCCUCAGCCUUUCAAGUCCUGAGAUUACAGACGUAAGUCAUUGCACCCAGCCUUUUAAAAUUUUGUUACUACUGUCUAUCCACUCCUCAGACUCUACUUCUAUAAGUAUUCAAGUUUCACUAAUUUUCUAAAAAAUGUACCUUUUGGAUAAAUGAUCUGUAUUAUGAUCUAGUAUUAUGCAUAUCAUGCACUGAAUUUGUUGAUCUUAUAAGUUUCUAUCAUUUUGAUCUUCUGUCUUGAUUGUGAAGAUCUUGACAGUUUUGGCCAAUUAUUUUGCAUAAUGUCCUCCAAUCUGUGUUUCUUUGAUAUUUUUUGUUUAGCUUAUUUUCAGGCGUCUUUGGCAGGAAUAUCAGAGAAGUGAUGCUAUGUUCUUUAUCACGUGAUUGCCCCCAUGUUAAUUCUAGUUACCAUGCCUGAGCUUGUAUAUAGAAGUUCCAAACUAUCUUUGAUGUAACAUCCUGUUUUGGCUAGGCCAGGCCAUCACCCUCUGGCAUGGAAGCACUAACCACCUUCUUCUGAGUCAAUGUGGCCCCACUUUCUCCACUACAGUAGCAUAAGACUCUACCUUAUUCAUCCUCUCCUAGUGGCUUUGGACUGAUUUUUUCAGGAAGGAAAAGAAGAAAGAGAAAAGAGAAAUUUAAAACAUUUUUAAAUUGCUAAUGCAGUUUAAUUUACAUAUAAUAAAAUUUACUAAUUUUAAAUACAAAUUUCCAUGAGUUUACACAAAUAAGUCCAGUUGUGUAACCAGCACCCAAUAUAGAUGUAGACUGUUUACACUACCCCAAAAUAUUCUCUUGUGCCUUCUGCAGUUGAUGCUCCCUCCCUAGCCGCAGUCUAAUGAUGAAAUUGGCCUGCUUUCUGUCACUGUAUUUUUGCAUAAUAUAUGUAAUCUAAUAUGACCAGCUCAGACAAUUGGAAGGAUGUUGUUGAGAUUCAUUUAUGUUUUUGUAUAUAUCCCUAGUAUUCCUUUGUUAUUCAUUCACCAUUAUUUGUUUAUCUACUUACCAGUUCAUAGAUAUUUCAAGAUUUGUUACAUUUUGAUGAAUGUUGCUAUCAACACGUGUACGUAAAUUGCUAUGUAAACAUAUUUUCAUUUUACUUAUGGUAAGUGCAUAUUAAAACUUAUAAGAAACAGUCAAACUGUUUUCCAAAGCAAAGCUGUAGUACAAUUUUAGAUUUGAACCAGCAAUGAACAAAUGUUCUAAAUGUUUCACAUACUCAGCAAUAAUUGGCAUUGUUGUUCUUUUAAGUUUCAGCUAUUCUUCUGUGUGUGUAGAGAUAUUUUAUUGAGCUUCUAAUUUGCAUUUCAUGAAGCUUUCAAAAAGGCAAAAUAAGGCCAUAAAAUAGAAUUUCAUCUGUAUAAAAUAAUCCAUGUUUUACUUUCUCUCUUCCAUAAAUAAUGCUUUUACUAGCUUCAAACAUGCUGUCGUUUCUUUUAACUUAGAAAUUUGUGAUCAGUAAGUCAUUAUAUAGUCAUAGCUAAAAUAAGUUCAAUUGACUGUAUUAUUAAGUGGAACAUAUUAAAUGGUCCUGCAUUCUUAGGCUAAUUUUGGCAAUGAGAAUUUGACAUUGAGUCAUCCUAAUACAUAGUGAUAAUUAAAUGUUACAUAGUAAUUUAAUUAAAUAAUUAAUUGCUUUAAUAAAUGAGAGAACAUUAUUUCUGUUCAAAAUAUCUUAAGGCUUAUGUGUUUAUAAAAAUAAACACUUCACACAUGGCCAAUUUUAGGUUCAAGAGAUCAAGCAUAUAUGGGAGGAGAUGACAUAUAAAGAAGGGAAUUGCCAUUAAAUGGGAUGUAGAUAUAUGGGAGCUAGAAGUAAAGAUAAUUCCAAAUGUAGGUAAGCAGGGUCAUAACAGGGAAUUUGUGAUUCUUCAGUAAAAACUAACAAAACAUACUCAUUGGAAUAUAGAUAGUAUAACAUGAAUUUAUAUUCUUUCAAUGUAUGUUGUGGGUCCAAAUUACCAGUGGCCCACCCAUAACAGGUCAUAAUUGUACUGGAUACAACAAAGUGACCACUUGAAAAGGCAUUCUUCAUUGUCCUUUGUAGUGCCUUCCGUAAGACUAACUUCUGUCUAAUGGAUGUGAAUUAAAAUUGUUGGGUAGAACAUUCAUAAAAGAUUCUUAAAGCAGGUAAGUUGGGAGUCAAUGUCAGCUGACAGCCUGUGCAUACAUUCUCUUCAUUGCCUUUUUCUCUCUGAUUUUCUCAUUCCCUAAAAUAUUAUUGUUAUAACUGGAGCCAUCUUGGGACUGUGCAGACAUAAGCAGAGAAUAAGGAGGACUGAGAAGACAGUCUGUAUUCUUGAUGACACUAACAUGGUUUAAUACUAACUCUGGCCAACUCAUCUGUAUGUUUCUUCUUAUGUGAUGAAAUUAGAAGCUCUCAUUUUUUAAGGCCACACUUUUUAAAAUCCCUGUUAUCAAAAGUCACAUGCAGUUUUUGGCUGUUAUUUUAUUUAUUUAUUUAUUUUUGAGACAGAGUCUUGCUCUGUCUUGCUCAGGCAGAAGUGCAGUGGUGGGAUCUCAGCUCACUGCAGCCUCCGCACUCCUGGGUUCAAGUAUUUCUCCUGUGUCAGCCUCCCAAGUAGCUGGGACUACAAGUGUGUGCCACCUUAUGAGGCUAAUUUUGUAUUUUUAGUAGAGAUGGUGUUUCACCAUGUUGGCCAGGCUGGUCUCGAACUCCCGACCUCAGGUGCUCUGCCUGCCUCAACCUCCCAAAGUGCUUGGAUUACAGGCAUGAGCCA
rnacentral:tRNA from 10 species